CUACUUGCCUGGUAGAGGAGAUACCGUAAUCACGAAGGUGGGUUUUCCCUGGGCAAGGCUCAUCCCUUGGGCUGAGGGUGUUGUGAUCGCUGGGAUUUCCCUACAUAUGGGAAACAACUGCUUACCUUGUGGUAUCGGAGCAGUUUCUCCAG
rnacentral:snRNA from 1 species